AGAGUUUGAUCAUGGCUCAGAGUGAACGCUGGCGGCGUGCUUAACACAUGCAAGUCGAACGAGAACAGAAGAGAGCUUGCUCUCUUGCUGCUAAGUGGCGCACGGGUGAGUAAUAUAUAGGUAAUAUGCCUCUUACUAAGGGAUAAUUGUUGGAAACGACUUGUAAUACCUUAUAUGCCUUUUGAACAUAAGUUCGUAAAGGGAAAGAUUUAUCGGUAAGAGAUUAGCCUGUACGGUAUCAGAUAGUUGGUGGGGUAAUGGCCUACCAAGUCUAUGACACCUAACUGGUUUGAGAGGAUGAUCAGUCACACUGGAACUGAGACACGGUCCAGACUCCUACGGGAGGCAGCAGUGGGGAAUAUUGCACAAUGGACGAAAGUCUGAUGCAGCAACGCCGCGUGGAGGAUGACACAUUUCGGUGCGUAAACUCCUUUUAUAUGAGAAGAUAAUGACGGUAUCAUAUGAAUAAGCACCGGCUAACUCCGUGCCAGCAGCCGCGGUAAUACGGGGGGUGCAAGCGUUACUCGGAAUCACUGGGCGUAAAGAGCAUGUAGGCGGGUGAAUAAGUUGGAAGUGAAAUCCUAUAGCUUAACUAUAGAACUGCUUCCAAAACUGUUCACCUAGAGUAUGGGAGAGGUAGAUGGAAUUUCUGGUGUAGGGGUAAAAUCCGUAGAGAUCAGAAGGAAUACCGAUUGCGAAGGCGAUCUACUGGAACAUUACUGGCGCUCAGAUGCGAAAGCGUGGGGAGCAAACAGGAUUAGAUACCCUGGUAGUCCACGCCCUAAACGAUGUACACUAGUUGUUGCUAUACUAGACAUGGCAGUAAUGCAGUUA
rnacentral:rRNA from 1 species